UUUUGUAUAUUUUACCUCUUAACAAAGAGGGUGCCUCAUCGUUUCUAAUGGUGGGCUUUAAGUGAUGCUCCUCUACCUUGCCGAUGAUGAAAGUUAUGGUAUUGUGUAUUGUAUGAUAUUUCAUGAUUACUAUACCAACUACUGCCUUCCUUCUGAGGCCUUUGACUGCUCAUUUACUCUCGUAUCUCGUUGUAGCUUUUGAGUUUCUAUUAUAAAAUUGAUUGCCUGUUCGAAUUUAACUAGCGGCGUGAGAUUUGAUGGCAGGGUCAUGUGAUGAACAGAAGCAUAGUUCAGAUGAUAUUUUUGUGAUUAUUUCGUUUUAAGUCUUUCGCUCCUAUCUGAUGACCCUUUCAAACUUCUAUUAGACUCGGUUCUGGUUAAUGGGUGCAAAGGUUUUACAUUCCUUUCUGCCUAGUGUUCGUCUAUGUUUUACCCCCAGAGGCCUUUUUCCCCUAUGCAUUUAGUUUCUAUUUGGGACUUUGUCUGCCCCUUUAGCAGUGUCAUUGAGUGCUUUAGGGAUGAACAUGUCCCAGAUAAUUAUCCAUCCGAAUCACUUUGUCAGCUUUUAUUUUUGUUUGCUUGCUGAUCAUUAUAGGAUGGAAUAUUGACAAGCAUCUCAAGUUAUGGGGUAUAUAUGUUUUUAUUAUAUAUUAAUGUCACUGAUGACAAUUUUAAAGGCUUGUUUCUCAAAACAUUCGCAGUGGCCGCCUGAGAGCUUUCGCCUUUGCCGGGCUUGAGAGCUAAUGCUGCUGUAAUCCUUCCUUGGAUGUCUGAGACAUUUGCAUGUGAUGUUUUCGAUGUUUUUUGGCAUUAUUGUCCCGAUUGUAAAUUUUGCGAAGUGAAUUUGUUUGCAAGUUACUGUUAGUUGUUUGAAGUACUUUUUUGGUCAUUCUUCUGAUAUUCUGUCUUAAAUUCCUGUGAUGCUUCUCUUAUGCAAAACUUCAAUAAAUUUUGAAGUCAUAAUUCAUGUGAGUUAUAUGUUCAAUGAUGACAAAUCCAAAGGCUUGUUUCUCAAUACAUUUGCAGUGGCCGCCUAAGAGCUUUCGCCUUCGCCGGGCUUGAGAGCUAAUGCUGCCCCAAUCCUUCCUUGGAUGUCUGAGACUCUUCUCACUAAUUGUUCUUGAACCUCUCCUUUUGAACCGAAUGGUGUAGUUUUUUAAUAGCGAAUUUUUUUCCUCAAUUCUUUUUCUCCAAGGAGAGGCCAAUGUUUGCAAUAUGUCAUUUUUUAAUAAAUAAUUACAAUUCUACAAUUGGUUGCGCAAGCGUUAAUGUUACGUAGUCUUUUAGUUAAUCUAUUGAUAUUGUCUUAACACUUCUGUUGCGUGAUUGUAGGUAGCUUACAACUGAUAUGAUGGUAUUGUUCAUGUAAAGUGUGAUGUCAUUUUACGAGGGAAUUAAUUGUCCAGUGAUGACAUCUCAAAGGCUUGUUUCUCAAAACAUUCGCAGUGGCCGCCUAAGAGCUUUCGCCUUCGCCAGGCUUGAGAGCUAAUGCUGCACCAAUCCUUCCUUGGAUGUCUGAGGCAAUGCAUGUUUAAUAUUAAGCUAAACUUACUAAUUGAUAAGAAUUAUAAAUAUGAUUAAUUUUUUUAAAAAAUUACAUUACUUGUUGAUGAUGUAUUAUUAAUAUAAAAUUAACUUAGUUGUAUUAGAAAUAUAAAACCAACUGUGUAUGAUCGGUAAAUCAAAAUUAGUGCAAUUGGUGCAUUCUACUAGUCUUGUUUUCUGCUACCUGCGUUGGGUUCUCCUAUACUAUUCGCUUAGAACAAAUUCGAAGUCAUUGUUGAGUUUAUUGGUCAGUAUUCACAAAUUCAAAGGCGUGUUUCUCGAUAUCUGCAGUGGCCACCCGAGAGCUUUCGCGUCUGCGGGGUUGAAGCGUCUGUGCUGUUACAAUCCUUUGAUGCUUGAGCCCGAGGUCAAAAUAUUGAAGCAUCUUCUGUUUAUUUCUUUGCAAUUUGUUUAUCCUUUUCAUCCAUAGGACGUUGGUUAACCGAAUGUUUCAUUCUUAUACGGAAUACAACUAGUUUAAGAGGUUAUGUUGACAGUUAACCCAUGGAGGGAGACAAUUGCUUCCUACCCUGGCAUUCUGAACGCCUUGGGAGAUUCUGAUUUGAGUAUGUCGUAUGUGCGUUUUGGUUCAGUUGAUGAAGUUGAGUGCU